UACGGAGGAUCCAAGCGUUAUCCGGAUUCACUGGGUUUAAAGGGAGCGUAGGUGGGCUGGUAAGUCAGUGGUGAAAUCUCCGGGCUUAACCCGGAACUGCCGUUGAUACUAUCAGUCUUGAAUAUUUGUGGAGGUAAGCGGAAUAUGUCAUGUAGCGGUGAAAUGCUUAGAUAUGACAUAGAACACCGAUAGCGAAGGCAGCUUGCUACACAAUGAUUGACACUGAGGCUCGAAAGCGUGGGGAUCAAACAGG
rnacentral:rRNA from 1 species